GACGAACGCUGGCGGCGUGCCUAAUACACGCAAGUCGAGCGGACGGAAGGAAGCUUGCUUCCUAAAGUCAGUGGCGGACGGGUGAGUAACACGUGGGCAACCUGCCCCUAAGAUCGGGAUAACUUCGGGAAACCGGAGCUAAUACCGGAUAUGAUUAUGUCUCACAUGAGACAUAAUGGAAAGACGGUUUCGGCUGUCACUUAGGGAUGGGCCCGCGGCGCAUUAGCUAGUUGGUGAGGUAACGGCUCACCAAGGCGACGAUGCGUAGCCGACCUGAGAGGGUGAUCGGCCACACUGGGACUGAGACACGGCCCAGACUCCUACGGGAGGCAGCAGUAGGGAAUCUUCCGCAAUGGACGAAAGUCUGACGGAGCAACGCCGCGUGAGUGAAGAAGGUUUUCGGAUCGUAAAACUCUGUUGUUAGGGAAGAACAAGUACCAUAGUAACUGAUGGUACCUUGACGGUACCUAACCAGAAAGCCACGGCUAACUACGUGCCAGCCGCCGCGGUAAUAC
rnacentral:rRNA from 1 species